AUCGGAUCGGUCAAUACUUCUAGUGUGUGUGACCCCAUAGGUUCUAUUCUGACUGGUAGUGAGAUAUAUUGUGGGAUCCCUAUCAUAAUAUCAUUGAAACUCCUUUCAAUGGGUUGGAACAAUUCCAACUCUUCUCAUUUGGGUUCACUGAUCAUCAAGUGAAUGCCUCUGAGUCUCACAAUCCACCAGUGACACCUAGCAGCAUGUAGUGGCAACCCAGCAGAGUAGAAUAGAUGAACCUCUAGGUGCAGUUAGCGUAUGAUACAGUCCCUCUAUCGUGGAUCCGAACAGGAUGGAGGUCAUGGAUAACUCGUCAAACCCCAUCAUCUGUCAUAUGUAAAAUUUAUUCGACUCCAGUUCGAGAUUGGAAAACUCUUUUUCCAAAAACUACCUUGGCCAAGGAUUUACGAACUCAGUCUCAUAAAUCACAUAGGAUCUCUCCUAAUCUAUCAAGGUCGAUAGAUUCCAUCUAGAUGCACCCCUACUCCUGCAAUGAACCUACUGCAGCCAAUCUGCACCACAAGGACCCAAAUGGAUAGGGCCCAUGUUUAUGUGCUCGUCAAACUACAGCAACCUCACUGUGAAUAGCCGAGGCAUUGCAGGUCAAAGGACCAGUCAUACAACUGCAGCAUCA
rnacentral:lncRNA from 1 species